UCCGGCCUGGCCAGGUAGGCGGGGCCGCUGUUGUAGAUGGCGAGCGCGGUGGUCUCGGUCAUGCCGUACCCGUUGGACGCCUGCCGCCGGGGC
rnacentral:tRNA from 1 species